AUGCCAUAUGAUGAUAUGGAUUUUCAUUAUCUCACGACGGUCGUCUGAGUUCACAUUGAUGUAAUAAUCCUAUGAUUCUGAUGGUU